AACGUAGGAGGCGAGCGUUAUCCGAAGUUACUGGGCGUAAAGCGCGCGUAGGCGGUGAUCUUUGUCAGAGGUGAAAGCCCGGGGCUCAACUCCGGAAUUGCCUUUGAAACGGGAUUGCUUGAGUCCGAGAGAGGAUGGCGGAAUUCCUAGUGUAGAGGUGAAAUUCGUAGAUAUUAGGAAGAACACCGGUGGCGAAGGCGGCCAUCUGGCUCGGUACUGACGCUCAGGCGCGAAAGCGUGGGGAGCAAACAGG
rnacentral:rRNA from 1 species